GGAGAGGUGGCAGAGUGGUUUAUUGCGUCGGUCUUGAAAACCGAAGUACCGGCAACGGUACCGUGGGUUCGAAUCCCUCCCUCUCCGCCA
rnacentral:tRNA from 1 species